GACGAACGCUGGCGGCGUGCUUAACACAUGCAAGUCGAACGGAAAGGCCCUGCUUUUGUGGGGUGCUCGAGUGGCGAACGGGUGAGUAACACGUGAGUAACCUGCCCUUGACUUUGGGAUAACUUCAGGAAACUGGGGCUAAUACCGGAUAGGAGCUCCUGCUGCAUGGUGGGGGUUGGAAAGUUUCGGCGGUUGGGGAUGGACUCGCGGCUUAUCAGCUUGUUGGUGGGGUAGUGGCUUACCAAGGCUUUGACGGGUAGCCGGCCUGAGAGGGUGACCGGCCACAUUGGGACUGAGAUACGGCCCAGACUCCUACGGGAGGCAGCAGUGGGGAAUAUUGCACAAUGGGCGGAAGCCUGAUGCAGCAACGCCGCGUGCGGGAUGACGGUCUUCGGGUUGUAAACCGCUUUCGCCUGUGACGAAGCGUGAGUGACGGUAAUGGGCAAAGAAGCACCGGCUAACUACGUG
rnacentral:rRNA from 1 species